UAUUUCCCAGCGUCAUUAUCUUUCAUUCCAACUCGAUUUUAUGAAUUUACAUGGUCCGAAAAUGACCUGGACAGCAGAAAGAAGAACAAAUACAGCAUAGUCAACCUCUUUCCAAAAUCAACAGCAAAACAAUUAAACGGGCAGCAACAACAGCAAAAGACAGUGACAACUGGCAGAUUCAAACCCAAGAAAAUAAACUAGAAAUACCCCAGUAAAACAGUACAAUUAUGUAACUUCAGAAAAAUCUUUCAAGACUACUCUAUUUUCCUUAAACAAGUUUUUCACUUAAGAAUCAACUCACAAAAGCUGCUAAGGGAUAUUAUAGCUACUGAUUUUUUUUUUUAAUUUUUUUUUGUGUGUAUAGAGCUCCCUCAGUAAGAUGGAGUGACCUCAUUUUGUAUCAAAACAAUUAGCUCAUUCAAAAAAAUUAAAAAUUAAUCUUUUUGAUAGAUUUUUCUACAAAAUCUGCUCUUAAAUUCAAAAUGCCAGACUUUCUGGUUCAAAUCUUGUCAAGUAUUUCAAACAAAAUCUGCUCUCCACUAUUCAAAGACAGACUUUUAUUCAAACACUGUCCAAAGGUCUACAUUUUCUUACCAAACAAUUUGACUUUUGAGUGUUGUACUCAAAAAGUCUUGAAGUAGUAAAUAAACAAUCAAACAAGUACCAUAUACUCUUAAGUAUUUUUCACUACCUCACUUUUAUCAACACAAAACUAUUUUACUACUUCAACAAGUGCAAAAAACAGAAAAUUUAACAUUUCAAACUUCAAAAACUAUAAUUAAUAAUAGACAAAAAUAAAAUCUGAAAAAAUAAAAAUAAAAUAGAAAAAACAGCCACAAAAGAAUAGGAUUUUUACCAUUUUAUAAUUCAAGUGGCCGAAAAAAUGGUGGUAUGCCCAAAGAGGGUGUUUGGGGAGGUCGCCGGAAUUUGGCCGGAUUUUGAUCGCUGGAUUUUCAGGGUAAAAUUGGCAUCAAUAUCUAGGUCUUGGGGAGCUCUAUCCAUUGAUGUAGGUAUUGUGGUGCGGUAAUGGUUGGAGCUUCAAGAAUUUGGGCAAAAAAGUGACCGGAAAGUUUCGUAGAUCUAAGAUUCAAGGAGUUUGAGGGAUUUUUGAAAGAUUUGGUUUGGAGAUAUGGAAAGAGGAAGUUGUAGAGAUUACAUGGUGUGAAUUUAGAGGUGUUUGGAUGUGGUCCGGCGGCGGCGGCGAUUUCCGGCCGGCGGCAGUGGGCGGAGCUGGGGCGGCGUAGAGAGAGUGAAGAGAGAAGAAGGAGAAACGAAUUAUGGGUGAAAAUGAGGACAAUUUUUAGAUUUUUGAGGCUUUAAAU
rnacentral:lncRNA from 1 species